UGGGCUCCACGCAGGGCCAGACCAUUGCGCUGCCCGCACAGGGGCUCAUCGAGUUCCGUGACGCUCUGGCCAAGCUCAUCGACGACUAUGGAGUGGAGGAGGAGCCGGCCGAGCUGCCCGAGGGCACCUCCUUGACUGUGGACAACAAGCGUUUCUUCUUCGAUGUGGGUUCCAACAAGUACGGCGUGUUUAUGCGAGUCAGUGAGGUGAAGCCCACCUACCGCAACUCCAUCACCGUGCCCUACAAGGUGUGGGCCAAGUUCGGACACACCUUCUGCAAGUACUCCGAGGAGAUGAAGAAGAUUCAAGAGAAGCAGAGGGAGAAGCGGGCCGCCUGUGAGCAGCUCCACCAGCAGCAACAGCAGCAGCAAGAGGAGACCACCGCUGCCACCCUGCUACUGCAGGGUGAGGAAGAAGGGGAAGAAGAUUGAUCAAACUGAAUGAAACACACACACACACACACACACACACACACACACACACACACGCAUACACAUACGUGUACACACACACACACACACACAGCCACACACAGAGAAAAUAUACUGUAAAGAGAGAAAAUAAAAAGUUAAAAAAAAAAAAAAAAACAAACUCCAAGGGAGCACCACCCACAGAACCUCCACCGACUGACAGUUUCUCUUCUUGACUUGCCACCCAUCGCUGGAUGUUGUCCACUUUAUCCACCAUAUAAAACAGUAAGCAGCUGCUAAAAACAAAAAACAAAAAAAAAUAUACAAAAGUAAUAACAUUAUAUGAACUGUGUUUCCUACUUGAUUAAAAAAUAUAAAGAACUGAGUGUUUAUUUCCCUAAUUAACCAAGAACUUUUGUACACGUUUAAGCUAUUAUUAUUAAAAGUGUUUGCAAAAUGGUCAAGAUUAUAAUAUUGCUGAAUUAUAUAAAAAGUCCUUUUCAUGUUGAGCUAACAUUUGACUUUAGCACAAAAAAAGAGAUAUUUUAGAACACGUAAAAUAAUAUUUUUAGUUUUUCUCAUUUUGUUACCAAAUUUCAAACCUUACAUGGAGGUUAUUAUAGUAUAUUUGACAUCCUAUAUACCUGUGAUUAGAGAUGUGUAUAUAUAUGAGGGCUAGGCAUGCUGUGUGUCUGAGCUUUGUCUAAAUGUUAUGCAGAAGUUUGUAGAGUUCAAGGUACGUAGGUUUAAUUCAUGCAAGGUAAACAAUAAGUGCUCUCUUUUAUACAAUAUGCAUUGCAUCUGGACCUUAAACAUAUAAAAUGGUCAGUGAAACUUCUGUGAACAUGAAGAAAUUAUUAAAAAAGGCAUUUAAAUGAAAUUUGCUAAGUUGUGAUUUUUAUGGUUGGAACCAAAGUUAUUCAAAUAGUAAAAGAAAAAGAGAAAGAAAAAGGAAAUUUCCCAUAAUAUUUUUCUGCAUCUGUUUGCUUUGACUGAGUAGGUGUUUUGUUAUUAUUGUGUAUAUGAGAUGUACUUGUAUUGUUCAUAAUAUAUAUUUUUUAUUAUGUGUAGAAAGAUUUUAAAAACCUAACUAACGUGCAGCAAUUUCCAGUGAACCUGUACUUGGAUAUCAGGUAGUGAGUCUAUUUGUGGUCACUAGCACUGUCUCCUAAACUUGUAAGAGGUCUGAAGCUAUCCUUUGAUUUUUGUCAGUGCUAUUAACUUAUGUAGACCUGUUUAAAAGCAAAGCAACACCAUUCUAGUUAUCCUACUGAGCCAUGGAUUCUGAGUUUCAUUUCAAAAGUGAAAGCCAAGUUGGUGUAUGUAAAGGAUUUCCAUGUAGCUGUGGUGCUAGUUAUUACUGGCUACAUUAUAUGCUAAGUGUAUUUGUGUUCCCAAGUGUACAAGCCUUCUGUCAAAAGUAUGUUCUAUUAUCACUCAUAUUCAAAGUGUAGGGUAUGAAAAUGCAAGCUUAGGAGAGCACUUUACCCAGCUGGUGUCCUCCACUGAAAUUGUUUGUAACGAUAGUCUUUUACAGGUUUUCAUUUAAAGAUGUUUGUGUGCUUUUAAUUGACAACUAACUUCUUGCUGCUGUAUAGUAAAAUAUUAAUAUAUUUUUUAUCAUUAAACUGCUGCAUGACUAUCAUCUUUGAGUGAAGAGAAAAUGUUAUAAAAAAGAUGCCUUAAAUACAGUACAUUUUGGUUUGGAAUUCUGUAGAAAGUAUUUUGGUAAAAAAAGAAAAAAGAAAAA
rnacentral:lncRNA from 1 species